GCACUGCAAACAUGAGGUUAUGCAAGAAUGUCAGUUUCACUUCACUUUUGGGCUUGACUAGUUUUCUUCAACAUUACUUCUAAUCUGAGUGAUUCAGGAAACUGUAGCUGGAUGAACUGAUUCUUGCACCGUCAUAAGGAAGCCAUUGUUCAACGAAAGUGAAGACAAGGAAUACUUUAAAGAAGAAUAGUACUAUAAGAACACUAUACAG